ensembl:lncRNA
CUGAGUGAGACUGGAGCGCCAACAAAGCCAGCAAGUUAUUAAGAUCCAAUGUAUUUGCUGCUGCAUUCAUCACUGUCUUUAUGGGGGAAGGUUUUUACGCAUUCUCUUUUAGCACAAUAUACAUUGCCAGAGUCACUUAUUUGAACCACACAUCCCACCCAGAACCUCUAAACGAAUAACAGUAGCUGCCUCAUCUCAAUUCAGUGCAGCAUCUUUUGCCAACGCGUCGUAUUCCAGAUAGGCGAGGAUGAAUGACUAUAGACUACAACGAAGCGGCAAAGUCACAAUGCAAAAUAGAACAUCAUUCUUAUCCAGCACCGUGAUUGCUGAACUUCUUCAAUUUCGUGAUGAUUGUUUUGUCUUAAGUUCUAUUCGAGUUGUAACCCAGAUCUAUUCAAUCUGUUCAUUCUGAACAGGAAAAACACAGAACCGUUCGCCGACCAUUCAGAUAAAAUCAGUCCAUUUGCUGCAAAUAUACAUUACAAAGACAUCCACCCUCAGUCCAUUUGCUUCAGAAACAGUAUAUUAUUACGUCCAUUACAACAUCUGACGAACCAUUCCACUAAGGCCUCCCAUUGGUUUCAACUCUAGUCCAAUCAGGUACUGCAUAUUAUUAACGAAGGCAUUCUGUAUGUCGAUAAUAGGUGGGUGUAUAGCUGACCAUGUUAAAAAUGUCAAAGCAAAGGUAAUGAAGGGGUGUAACAGUCCCAGGCAUUCUGGGACACGGCGUAGUUGUUGGUGGGGGACAGCAUCUGCUAGCAAUAUCGCUGCCUCGUGUUGUAACCGAUUUAGGAUGUCCGUGAGAGGAACUCAAGAGAAUAACUGCUGUCAUAGCUGUAGUAUUCCCAAGAGCUACUGCUGCAUGCUGACCUGUAUAUUGCCUGUGAGACAGCAGGAAUACUGCACUAUUUAAAUUGCACUGUAGGUCCUUUCUUGUUGGUGUCUGUUCAUGCAGUCAAUGAGGUAUUCUCAAAUGUCAAUAUUACUAUGGCUAAGACUGGAAUAAUGUACACCUCGACCCGCAAAAGCCAUGACAAAAAUCAACUCUGCAAUUUUCAAGUGUACCAGUUUCUUUCUUUUUUUUAGGUUCAUUGGAAUGGGUAGUUUAUUACUAUGAUGUGACGACGUAGGAAAGGUUUGUCUUGAAAAAACAUCAAGAAUAAAGGGAGAAAACGUGCCGGAAUGCUAGAAAGAGAGGUCAAGUUUUUUGUAGACCUGCAUUAAAUUCUAUUUUCUUAAUAUUGAUGUCAGCCUACAUGGUAUGCAAGCAAAUGGUCACCCAGGGGGGAGAGUAAGUCUUGGGGUGACUUUAUGCUAUAUACAGGAAAAGAAUGUGCGAUUUUGGCAACAAAGUUUGACCAUUCAUUAUUGAGCCUACCAUGUAUGUGCAUCCUUUAAACAAGACUCAGUAGUAUUUAGUAUUCAGCAAUAUAUGUCCAGUUUACCUACUUCAGGGUUGAGUUCACUAGCCCGAAGUACAUAGUUGAAAUCAGCUGAAUGUUUUAUCUACCUGGCAGGUUUAUUUCAGAUCCCUUGGUGGGAAAAUGUCAGAUAUAUUCAGGAAAACUGCUUCUGCAAAUUAAACGAUGCAUGCUAACCUUGGUUGUUAUUAUUGCAUUUGAUUGUUUUGUUUAAUUUUAAAUGAAUGACUUUCCAAACUUGUCUGUUAGGUUUAAGUCCAGAAUUCUUACUGUUGGUUCCCUAGCUAUAUUAUCAUUGACUUUUAUAAUACUUCGCUAUCAUGUAGAAACAACUAUGCCCUUGUAUGCUAUAAUUAACCAUUUAUAAAAUGUAAUACUUUUGGCAUCAUGCACAGAAUUUUUUUUAUAUGUUUUUUUUUUCUGUAAUGAAUGAGCAAUGUCCAUUAAAGGAUUUUGAAGAGAUA